rnacentral:rRNA from 1 species
GACGAACGCUGGCGGCGUGCUUAACACAUGCAAGUCGAACGGAAAGGCCCUGCUUUUGUGGGGUGCUCGAGUGGCGAACGGGUGAGUAACACGUGAGUAACCUGCCCUUGACUUUGGGAUAACUUCAGGAAACUGGGGCUAAUACCGGAUAGGAGCUCCUGCUGCAUGGUGGGGGUUGGAAAGUUUCGGCGGUUGGGGAUGGACUCGCGGCUUAUCAGCUUGUUGGUGGGGUAGUGGCUUACCAAGGCUUUGACGGGUAGCCGGCCUGAGAGGGUGACCGGCCACAUUGGGACUGAGAUACGGCCCAGACUCAUACGGGAGGCAGCAGUGGGGAAUAUUGCAAAAUGGGCGGAAGCCUGAUGCAGCAACGACGCGUGCGGGAUGACGGCCUUCGGGUUGUAAACCGCUUUCGCCUGUGACGAAGCGUGAGUGACGGUAAUGGGUAAAGAAGCACCGGCUAACUACGUG